rnacentral:lncRNA from 1 species
CAAAAGUCAAGUAACUUUAUAAAGGUAGCACUUUAAUUGUCUUGCAACAUUGAAGGUGAGUAGUCUAUACCUACUUUUAUUCCAAACAUAUUUAUUUCAAUUAUGUUUAUUGGAUUACUUCUUGCUUUUCAAAUAAUUAUAGAUCCAAGAUUCUACCCAUUGAUAUUGACAUUGAAUAUUGGCAUUGCAUUGGAUAGUGAUUGAUAUUAUUGUUUUCACACCAAAUUGGUGUAAUUGACUAUUGAACUCAUGUAUUGUUAUUUUCAUAUUGCGCGCACGGGUAAGAAUCAACAUCUUUAAUUGGGGCCUAUUGUUUUCCUUACUUAUUCAAAUUAAAGAAAGAUUAUGGUAUAGAUUACUCGCUGAAUAAAUAUAUUCACGUUAUUUUUUUUAUUUUUAUUGUAGAUGAUCACGGUCGAAUACAUUGACUUUACCUCUAGAGAAUGGACAAUUUCAGAAGAUGACAAAUAUUGCAUGCUUGUCAAAGAAAUCCACGCGUGGAUGACAUAUCCAGAUUUUUCGGGCUUUAACCACUUUGAAGGAGUCCAUUACCAUAUCGACUACUUUGAAGCCACCACUAUGAUAUACUUAUUUUUGGAUAGUUUUCCUGGAG